GUGCUCACUUUGGCAGCACAUAUACUAAAAUUGGAAUAAUGCAGAGAAAUUUAACAUGGACCCUGCCCAAGUAUGACAUGCAAUUCGUGAAGUAUUCCAUAUUUUU